rnacentral:rRNA from 1 species
GCUUGGAAGCAGCCAUUCAUUUAAAGAGUGCGUAACAGCUCACUAGUCGAGGAGUCGGGCGUGGAUAAUAAUCGGGUAUUAAGUUGUCUACCGAAGCAGUGGGAUCAUUAAUAUGAUCGGUAGGGGAGCAUUCCAGUCAGCGUCGAAGGCGUACCGUGAGGUAUUCUGGAGCGUCUGGAAAAGCAAAUGUAGGUAUAAGUAACGAUAAAGGGGGCGGGAAACCCCCUCGCCGAAAGACUAAGGUUUCCUGAUCAACGCUAAUCGGAUCAGGGUCAGUCGGGUCCUAAGGCUCAGCCGAACGGCGAUGCCGAUGGCAGAAACGGUUAAUAUUCCGUUACUACCUUCAGGAGUGACGUGGAGACGCAGUAGUGACAGUGCCGCCAUCUGACGGAAUAGAUGGUUGAAGGGUGUAGGAGUCGAUCAUGGCAGGCAAAUCCACCAUGAGAUCCGAACCUGACAGUAUGCCGCGUCCUUCGGGACAAGGCAAUAGUGCGCGUAAGCAUGCUGCCGAGAAAAUCCGCUAAACUUAAUCCUGCAGGUACCCGUACCGCAAACGGACACACGUAGUCGGGAUGAAUAUUCUAAGGCGCUUGAGUGAUUCACGGUUAAGGAACUAGGCAAACUGACCCUGUAACUUCGGGAUAAAGGGUCCCUACCCUUUUAUGGGAGGGCGCAGAGAAUCGGUCCAGGCAACUGUUUAACAAAAACACAGGGCUGUGCCAAAUCGAAAGAUCCAGUAUACAGCCUGACACCUGCCCGGUGCUGGAAGGUUAAGAGGAGAUGUCAUCGAUAAGAGAAGCGUUGAAUUGAAGCCCCAGUAAACGGCGGCCGUAACUAUAACGGUCCUAAGGUAGCGAAAUUCCUUGUCGGGUAAGUUCCGACCUGCACGAAUGGUGUAAUGAUCUGGACGCUGUCUCAACCGUGAGCUCAGUGAAAUUGUAGUAUCGGUGAAGAUGCCGAUUACCCGCGAUGGGACGAAAAGACCCCGUGAACCUUUACUAUAGCUUAUCAUUGAAUCUGGGCACGUGAUGUGUAGGAUAGGUCGGAGGCUUUGAAGCAGGUACGCCAGUAUUUGUGGAGCCGCUGUUGAAAUACGACCCUUUAUUUGUUUGGAUUCUAACCCGUGGAACGGGGACAUUGAUUGGUGGGUAGUUUGACUGGGGUGGUCGCCUCCAAAAGCGUAACGGAGGCUUCUA